UGAAUACGAGACACUAAGGUGUUGAAGUAGUGUAUGUCAUACUUCCAAGAAAAGCUUGCACUGUCAUAAAUAAUAAAUGCCUGUACCAUAACCGACACAGGUGGGUAGGUAGAGUAUACUAAGGGGCGCGAGAUAACUCUCUCUAAGGAACUCGGCAAAAUAACUCCGUAACUUCGGGAGAAGGAGUGCCUUAUUUUUAAGGUUGCAAUAACAAGAUCCAAGCAACUGUUUAUCAAAAACACAGGUCUCCGCUAAGUCGUAAGACGAUGUAUGGGGGCUGACGCCUGCCCAGUGCCAGAAGGUUAAAGAAGUUGGUUAGCAAUUGCGAAGCUGAUAACUGAAGCCCUGGUGAACGGCGGCCGUAACAAUAACGGUCCUAAGGUAGCGAAAUUCCUUGUCGGGUAAGUUCCGACCCGCACGAAAGGCGUAAUGAUUUGGAUACUGUCUCGGAGAGGGGCUCGGUGAAAUAGACUUGUCUGUGAAGAUGCGGACUACCUGCACCAGGACAGAAAGACCCUAUGAAGCUUUACUGUAACUUGAAAUUGAAAUUGGACUUUAUUCGCGCAGUAUAGGUGGGAGGCGUUGAUUAUAAUCUUGUGGGAUUAUUGGAGCCAUCAGUGAGAUACCACUCUUGUAAUGUUAGAUUUCUAACUUUGAAUCAUUAUCUGGUCAAAGAACAGUUUCAGGCGGGCAGUUUGACUGGGGCGGUCGCCUCCCAAAUGGUAACGGAGGCGUACAAAGGUUUCCUCUGAACGGUUAGAAAUCGUAUCUAGAGUGUAAAGGCAUAAGGAAGCUUGACUGUGAGACCUACAAGUCGAGCAGGGACGAAAGUCGGUCUUAGUGAUCUGACGGUACUGAGUGGAAAGGCCGUCACUCAACGGAUAAAAGUUACUCUAGGAUAACAGGCUGAUCUCCCCCAAGAGUUCACAUCGACGGGGAGGUUUGGCACCUCGAUGUCGGCUCAUCGCAUCCCGGGGCAGUAGUACGUCCCAAGGGUUGGGCUGUUCGCCCAUGAAAGCGGUACGCGAGCUGGGUUCAGAACGUCGUGAGACAGUUCGGUCCAUAUCCGGUGUAGGCGUUAGAAUAUUGAGAGGAGCCUUCUUUAGUACGAGAGGACCGAGAAGGACAUACCUCUGGUGUACCAGUUAUCGUGCCAACGGUAAACGCUGGGUAGCUAUGUAUGGAGUGGAUAACCGCUGAAAGCAUCUAAGUGGGAAGCCCACCUCAAGAUAAGUAUUCUCAC
rnacentral:rRNA from 1 species